UGCGCUUAUGUAUACAUGUAACCAUUAACCUCUAUUACAAGUGAGUAGCUACGCUGGAUUUGCGAUUGAAUAACUUAGUUUUGUAGCAAAUCAUUUUCGUCAUUCUGGUACGGUUAGCAGCAGUGAGUGAAGGUGAACUAAACGUUAGUGUUGAGAUAUCUAUCUGCCAAUGCCAAUGUAGUGUCGACGAGAAGACUACCAAUUACUGAAACAGUGACAAUUUCAAUUCGUAUCAAGUUAUUACAAAAAAUAUUGUAAUUUGUGUAAUAUAUACAUCUUUUCUCGCGUACUUGUAUGAAUCUAAUCCUAUGCAUAUGACUUAUCUCCACUGAAUGACAAGAUUAAAGACAAAUAAUAAUUAGGGUCAGGUAGACCGAACGGUUCUAAAAUUAAUCAGACUGACUAAUGAUACCUAAUCAUGUUCUCAGUUACGCAGGCUAGUCUAGUUAGCGUAUGCUGUUAUACGCCUACUUGGGAAAUAAUUUACAUAGGUAGUUGAAGUUUUUAUUUUCACACUCUCAUCGCGGAAAGUUUAUUUUUAUUUCAUCGCCGAUCCUGUAUUGACUAAAUUCAAUAUUAUAAAAUUACCUACGGAACUACAAUAUUUUACACAACAAAGCGAAAAUGAAUGUCAAUGCGUAACGAUGUAAGUCUUACUUUCUGUAGAGGUAUUUAAUUUUCAUUACUCGGUGAUAGAUUAACAUGCAAGUUUUUGAUAUACCUACCAAUGCAAACCAGGAUAAUGUUUUCACUACUGUAGAGAAAUAUAACAGGCAUAGUUGUGGUGACUGCUCAGUCUAUGAAUAGCGGAAGAAGAGGGCACCGAGGACGGCGCCGUGGUCAGUCUGGCCGUGUUAUGAAGAACCUCCUUAGAAGUGCAACGAGACUUAUGAAGAUAGCUGUCAUCUUUCGAUUGUCAUGGAUACAUCACGUCAAACAAUCAUUAAUUAAUUGUUGAUAUCUCAAGCUCUACAAUUUCGAUAUCUUCCUACGAUUAUAUUAUUCCAAAUUGCC